rnacentral:rRNA from 1 species
AGGGAAUCUUCCACAAUGGACGGAAGUCUGAUGGAGCAACGCCGCGUGAGCGAAGAAGGUUUUCGGAUCGUAAAGCUCUGUUGUAAGGGAAGAACACGUACGGGAGUCACUGCCCGUACCUUGACGGUACCUUAUCAGAAAGCCACGGCUAACUACGUGCCAGCAGCCGCGGUAAUACGUAGGUGGCAAGCGUUGUCCGGAAUUAUUGGGCGUAAAGCGCGCGCAGGCGGUCCUUUAAGUCUGAUGUGAAAGCCCACGGCUCAACCGUGGAGGGUCAUUGGAAACUGGAGGACUUGAGUACAGAAGAGGAAAGCGGAAUUCCACGUGUAGCGGUGAAAUGCGUAGAGAUGUGGAGGAACACCAGUGGCGAAGGCGGCUUUCUGGUCUGUAACUGACGCUGAGGCGCGAAAGCGUGGGGAGCAAAC